rnacentral:tRNA from 1 species
GCCCUCGUAGCUCAAUGGAUAGAGCAAUCGCCUCCUAAGCGAUAGAUCAUGGUUCGAGUCCGUGCGGGGGUA